CUGUUUAUUCUCUUUGCUAUAGCCUUCUGAAAGCAAGCUCCUUUAAAAUAUUUAUGAUUCUUCCUUUUUCUGAUGCUCCUUCUGUUUAUUCUCUUUGCUACAACAUUUGGGUUAUUUGCUCUUCUGUUAAUAGCUCAUUGAAAGAGAGACUCAGAUGUUUAAACAAUAUUUUAUCUUUGCAGUAAAUUGUGAAUCUGAGGAUCAUGGUUUGGACUUUGAAGAAACUGUAGCCACUAUUUUGCUCAAAUGGAAGAGGUUUUGAUGUAGGGGAUAUAAAGACUUAAAUAGGAGAAUGCGGUUAAGAUGGCUUUGAUAUAUGAAUCUUUUGGAACAGACUUGUACUUUUGAAUUGAUCAUAUUUUGAUGGUUGUGAAUUGAUCAUAUUUUGAUGGGUUGAAGUUA